AACGAACGCUGGCGGCAUGCCUAACACAUGCAAGUCGAACGAUACCUUCGGGUCUAGUGGCGCACGGGUGCGUAACGCGUGGGAACCUGCCCUUAGGUUCGGAAUAACUCCCCGAAAGGGGUGCUAAUACCGGCUAAUGUCUUCGGACCAAAGAUUUAUCGCCUUUGGGUGGGCCCAUGUUGGAUUAGCUAGUUGGUAGGGUAAAAGCCUACCACGGCGACGAUCGAUAGCUGGUCUCAGAGGAUGAUAAGCCACACUGGGUCUGAGACACGGCCCAGACUCCGACGGGAGGCAGCAGUGGGGAAUCCUGGAGAAGGGGCGAGAGCGUGAUCUAGCAAUGCCGCGUGAGGGAAGAAGGCCUUCGGCCUGGAGAGCGCUUUAGUACGGAAGGAAAAGGAUCUGGCUAAUACCUGGGGAUGAUGACGGUACCGGAAGAAUAAGCACCGGCUAACUACGUG
rnacentral:rRNA from 1 species